rfam:Rhodnius prolixus Rhodnius_prolixus-3.0.3-841.5, whole genome shotgun sequence.
CUUACGGCCCUUUUCAGGGCCACUCAACUGUGUGGGGAGCGCCAUAG